rnacentral:tRNA from 1 species
UAAAAGGAGACCUACCCUCUCACUGAAUCAUUCAAUUGAAUCAGGUGAGAAAGGUCAACUAGGUCGUUCGGAGCUUUCCAAGCAAUUAGAUUUGCGAUUUCGAUGUGCUUCUAAACUAUCCCGGUUCAGGGAAUUUGUGGGCUAUUAGCUCAGGUGGUUAGAGCGCACCCCUGAUAAGGGUGAGGUCCCUGGUUCGAGUCCAGGAUGGCCCACUCCACUUUUUAUUAAGUGCGACUUAUCAAAGUGCGACCAACACAGGGGGGUUUAGCUCAGUUGGUAGAGCGCCUGCUUUGCAAGCAGGAUGUCAGCGGUUCGAGUCCGCUAACCUCCACCAACCCUAACCAAAUUCAAGGAACACAAGUCRGCAACUUAUCUAUUAGAAUAGAGAGCCUGCUGGAUUGUAAUCCAGUAAAAGAACCAAGAAAACUGCAUAGUAAGUUGUCAGGUAGAGAUACACAGACACCAAUGUAAAUGCGACAAUAACUGAUUGAGAAAUUAGU